AACGAACGCUGGCGGCAUGCCUAACACAUGCAAGUCGAACGAGACCUUCGGGUCUAGUGGCGCACGGGUGCGUAACGCGUGGGAACCUGCCCUUAGGUUCGGCAUAACUCCCCGAAAGGGGUGCUAAUACCGGAUAAUGUCUUCGGACCAAAGAUUUAUCGCCUUUGGAUAGGCCCGCGUUGGAUUAGCUAGUUGGUAGGGUAAAAGCCUACCAAGGCGACGAUCCAUAGCUGGUCUGAGAGGAUGAUCAGCCACACUGGGACUGAGACACGGCCCAGACUCCUACGGGAGGCAGCAGUGGGGAAUAGUGGACAAUGGGCGAAAGCCUGAUCCAGCAAUGCCGCGUGAGUGAUGAAGGCCUUAGGGUUGUAAAGCUCUUCUACCCGGGAUGAUAAUGACAGUACCGGGAGAAUAAGCUCCGGCUAACUCCGUG
rnacentral:rRNA from 1 species